GGGGCCGACUGGAUUUGACAGUAGGCGAUAAUGUUGUAUCAGCAUGUCAGGUGGAGAAUGUACAUCUGUGAUAAAUUCAUUCGAACAAUAAUUGGCGAAGAUUCUUACGCCAUGGCUGCUUAAUUUUAACUCAUAGUUAAAAUUCAGGCUUAAAAGGUUCACUGAUAAGAUUGGUGCCUGGCCACAUCCUGCCGGUUUUCGUUUUGUCGAACCGGAUUUUGGGUGUCGAAAGACAAAACUAGCUGGCGACCACGUUGCGGGUCAAAGGCGAAACACUCAGCAACUUUGGGGUAAGGUAGGUUGUUGCCGACCGGCUUUGCUCCGAGAUCAAACUGGCAACUAAACAUGUAGAAGAUACAUAUUUACCCUAUCUGGACCGGGGUUCGAAUCCCCGCGGCUCCACUU
rnacentral:tmRNA from 1 species